rnacentral:rRNA from 1 species
AACGAACGCUGGCGGCAUGCCUAACACAUGCAAGUCGAACGAGACCUUCGGGUCUAGUGGCGCACGGGUGCGUAACGCGUGGGAACCUGCCCUUAGGUUCGGAAUAACUCCCCGAAAGGGGUGCUAAUACCGGAUAAUGUCUUCGGACCAAAGAUUUAUCGCCUUUGGAUGGGCCCGCGUUGGAUUAGCUAGUUGGUAGGGUAAAAGCCUACCAAGGCGACGAUCCAUAGCUGGUCUGAGAGGAUGAUCAGCCACACUGGGACUGAGACACGGCCCAGACCCCUACGGGAGGAAGAAGGGGGGAAAAUUGGAAAUGGGCGAAAGCCUGAUCCAGCAAUGCCGCGUGAGUGAUGAAGGCCUUAGGGUUGUAAAGCUCUUUUACCCGGGAUGAUAAUGACAGUACCGGGAGAAUAAGCUCCGGCUAACUCCGUG